rnacentral:piRNA from 1 species
GAUUCUGGUUUCAGGACACUCAUGAGC